GUACUCACUUUGGCAGCACAUAUACUAAAAUUGGAAUGAUACAGAGAAAAUUAACAUGGUCCCUGUGCAAGGAUGACAUGCAAAUUUGUGAAGCAUUCCAUAUUUAA
rnacentral:snRNA from 1 species